UUUUUUUCAAAAAAAAUUAAAUUCAAGGGAAAAUAUUAUCCUAUCUCAAACCUUAGGUCUGGUUGGAGGGAAUGGAAUAGCCAUUCCCUUUUUAUUCUUGGAUGAACAGUUAAUACAUAGUUUGGUUCACCGUUUUCUUCAUUCGGCGAAUGGCUAUUCUUUUUUUAUUCGUCUCAUUUAUCGAAUCAUCAUUCGGUGAAGGGGGUUAAGACUAGCCCAUUCAAUGACGGAUGUAAUAGCAAAAUUUUUCCCUCAGACAAUUUUACCCUGUAUUUCUUCACCCAUCAACCAUCAAUUCCGUCGUCGUUGUAAAAGUGGUGCCUCCCUCGAUUCUGUCAUCGAGAAUCGUAGAUUCAUCUCCGACUUGUUCCCCGCCUCCACAAAGUUGCCUCCUUUCCUUUGUGAGAAUUCUAUAAGUUCAUCUUUUUUCUUCCCUUUCUUGUUUUAUAAUUUCAACUAUGUUUGUAUUAUUGGUUCCGUUUUUCCUCUUUCCUUUCGAUUUUUUUUUCAAUUAUCAUAAGAAUUACCCAGAAGAAUAUUGAGAAAUCUAGUUCAGUAAUUAUUUUUCCAUAAUUUUCUUGAAUUUUGAAGAAAAAUGGAAGGAUAGGGUUAGAAAUUGUAGAUUUAGGUAUUGGGACCUUUUUCAUUAGCCAAUUGGUUAAAUCCAAAUAAUAGAACUGGUAUGUUUGUAUUAUUGGUGUUUGCUGCCAUGGAUACAAGCUUGGUUUUUGUCUUGCGACAUCUUUGUUUUCCUUAUACAGGGUAAAGACUACAGGUCUCAGUUUCAAAUGGGAAAUGGUGCUUUAUUUGGAGCUAAUUAUAUCCAGGUAAAUUGUAUGAAGCCAUAUUAUAUUUGUUGAAUUCAGCAGAGAUGAAGAACUUAGCAGAAUGGACAAGUUACUGGAUUUUUAGUACCUAGAAAAUUGACUUUUAUGCUUAGAUUCAGUAUAACAUGGAUCUAUGCACUGUUAUGGUUUAUCUUCCUUUUUUAAAUACAACAUACUAUAAGAUAAUAUACUAAUUAUGGUAGAAGCAACCUAGACUUUCUCUGCUGAAGGCAUUCUGCAUUUGGCAUUUUAUUUGCAGUUGCAUGCAUUGUCAAUCUUCAUCUGAAUCCACUAAUUCUGCAAUUAUGAUUCCAUCAUUAUUAAUGAACUGAAUCUAAGCCAUAUUUAUACAGAGUGUGACACCACAUUUAUCCUUAUUUAGAUGAUAGAACAGGUUAAAUCCAGAUGAUAGAACUGGUUAUUUUGUAUGGCAUGAGUUAUUGAAUUACUUCAUUAAAGAACUCUAUAAGGGGAGGGUGUCAUAAUUUAAUAGAAAUGUGUUUCUUUGUCUCAUGUUUUUUUCUAUAUAUGUUAAGACAUUUGAUGUUGUUCAACUUAUUUUAGAAGAGUUUGGUCGAAGCAUUAGUGAAAUUUUUUAGAAUUUUGAUGUAAAUCCUCUUGGUUCUGCAUCAAUCGUACAGUUAUUAUUUAUGCUACCCAAUACAUGAGACUUCCUCUUAUUCUACUCAAUGCUAUUUGCAUUGUUGUAAUGUUGAUUUCUGGUUGAUGAUUGCAUUACUCUUUCAAGGUCAGAUGUUCUUAUUUAUGGCUUAAUAUUACAUGAUAGGGAUUUAAAUAGUGGUAGCUAGCUCAAGUUGUACCAUAUACCCCUAUAAGUGACCUAUAUACCAUAAGUUGGGUUCAAACUCCACCAAGGGCGAGCCGCUCAAGUUACCUCUUAGUGGGCGACUGUAUGUCCACGUAUAGGUGAAGUGUUCCCAGCUCUGUGAACCAGGUUCUCAGGGCAGCUGCUCAUGGCACUCUGGCUCUCGACAGAGCAUGAGAGACAAAACCCUCUUCCGAGGACAAUACCUUCGGUUGUUAGGGGACUGGCAACAUUAUUCCGUGGUUGUUAUUUUGCAGUUUUGACUCUCUACACGCGGUCGAUUAAACAGGGCAUGUAUUAGGCGUUCUGUUUUAGUUGGUUUUGGUUUGUGAUUUAAACAAUUUGGCAUGGAUUUGAGGUUAGAGCAGUUCAUUAAAUAGUGUGAAAUAGAAGCACAUUGAUCAUAAUAGAGAAGAAUGGGAGUUCAAAUAUAAUCCUUUAAUACUGCAAGCUUCUAUCGCGUGUUGCAUUGAUGCAAAUGUUGAAUAGGAUAGAAUAGGAAAUGCAGAAUUGGAUCAAUUCCUUUUGUUGAAACAUAUAAAAUUACGUAAACAAGAUCAGUGUAUCGAAUCGGCUACCUGUCCAAGAGAGAAAACAGCUUUUUGUCAGGUCGUAAGAGUUGUACUUUUUCUUUAUUUUGCAUUCUUUUGUUUUGUUUUCUAAGUAUUUGUUUCAGGUACUUUAGAAGCUUGCCAUAGAUUUUUCACUCUUGUUAAAGAAUACAAGAGAUGCUCAUUUUGCUAUACUGUUUGCAGUUAUUCCUAGAAUGUGAUUUCCUUAUCUAUUCAUAAUAAUUCAUGAAGUUGAACCCGGAAAAUCAGAAACUUGCAAGAGGUUGUGAAAGAUGGGAGCGUUUAGUUUAAAAAAUCAGCUGAUAAGUUCUUAAAAUCGAAUUUUAGGUUUCGUGAUGGGAUCAUAUUGAACUGGGAAAUGUAAUAGCUUGAGCAUUUGUAUCAUUUGGGACAGCUUCUGCACUGCCAUUUUGAAGUACACAGUUUUAUUAUGGCUGAAAGUUGCUAUUAUUUGGCAUCACUUCAUGUAUCUGUUCUUUUGUUAAGCCUAACAGAAGUUUUUGGUCAGCUGGCACCACAAACUUCUUGUUAUCAUGAUAUUAUAAAGGAUAAAAUAAAAUAUAAAAAUAUGUUUUCUAUUAAAAUUGACUAUUUAAAAAAAUGUUAUUAGAGGAUUAUCAUAUAGUAUGUUAAACUUAUUUUUAUAUUGGCGAUUGUGACCUAAAAGAACAGGUGAGAGAUUAGAUUAAAGAAAAUAUAUUAGGC
rnacentral:lncRNA from 1 species